rnacentral:rRNA from 1 species
GAUGAACGCUGGCGGCGUGCCUAAUACAUGCCAGUCGAGCGAACGGACGAGAAGCUUGCUUCUCUGAUGUUAGCGGCGGACGGGUGAGUAACACGUGGAUAACCUACCUAUAAGACUGGGAUAACUUCGGGAAACCGGAGCUAAUACCGGAUGAUAUUUUGAACCGCAUGGUUCAAAAGUGAAAGACGGUCUUGCUGUCACUUAUAGAUGGAUCCGCGCUGCAUUAGCUAGUUGGUAAGGUAACGGCUUACCAAGGCAACGAUGCAUAGCCGACCUGAGAGGGUGAUCGGCCACGCUGGAACUGAGACACGGUCCAGACUCCUACGGGAGGCAGCAGUAGGGAAUCUUCCGCAAUGGGCGAAAGCCUGACGGAGCAACGCCGCGUGAGUGAUGAAGGUCUUCGGAUCGUAAAACUCUGUUAUUAGGGAAGAACAUAUGUGUAAGUAACUGUGCACAUCUUGACGGUACCUAAUCAGAAAGCCACGGCUAACUACGUG